rnacentral:SRP_RNA from 1 species
GCACAACAAUUUUAGCCCCAGCUAUUUGGGAGGCUGAGGCUGGAGGAUCUCUUGAGUCCGGGAGUUCUGGGCUGUAGUGAGCUAUGCUGAUCGGGUGUCCGCACUAAGUUCAGCAUCAAUAUGGUGACCUCUGGGGAGCAGGGGACCAGCAGGUUGCCUAAGUAGAGGUGAAACAGCCCAGGUCGGAAACAGAGCAGGUCAAAACUCCCAUGUUGAUCAGUAGUGGGAUUGCACCUGUGAAUAGCCACUGCACUCCAGCCUGGGCAACACAGCAAGACCCCAUCUCU